rnacentral:rRNA from 1 species
CCCCUAGAUGUUCUGGGCCGCACGCGCGCUACACUGAACAGUUCAACAAGUCUUAACCUUGGCCGAUAGGUCUGGGUAAUCUUUGAACGCUGUUCGUGAUUGGGAUAGACCUUUGCAAUUAUGGGUCUUCAACGAGGAAUUCCUAGUAAACGCAAGUCAUCAGCUUGCAUUGAUUACAUCCCUGCCCUUUGUACACACCGCCCGUCGCACCUACCGAUUGAAUGGUCCGGUGAAGCCUCCGGAUUGGCGCGCACCCCGGUGCCGCCGAGAAGUUGGCUAAACCUUACCAUUUAGAGGAAGGUGAAGUCGUAACA